GACAGAGGAGCCAAGCGUUGUCCGGAUUGACUGGGCGUAAAGCGCACGCAGGCGGCUGUGCACGUGGGGUGUGAAAGCUGGCGGCUUAACUGCCAGACGCCACCUCAUACGGCACGGCUCGAGCCCGUGAGAGGUCCACGGAAUUGCCGGUGUAGUGGUGAAAUGCGUAGAGAUCAGGAAGAACAUCGGUGGCGAAGGCGCUCUGCUGGACCAUAACUGACACUCAGGGACGAAAGCUAGGGGAGCGAAUGGG
rnacentral:rRNA from 1 species